UACGAAGGGGGCUAGCGUUGCUCGGAAUCACUGGGCGUAAAGCGCACGUAGGCGGACUCUUAAGUCGGUGGUGAAAUCCUGGAGCUCAACUCCAGAACUGCCUUCGAUACUGAGAGUCUCGAGUCCGGGAGAGGUGAGUGGAACUGCGAGUGUAGAGGUGAAAUUCGUAGAUAUUCGCAAGAACACCAGUGGCGAAGGCGGCUCACUGGCCCGAUACUGACGCUGAGACGCGAAAGCGUGGGGAGCGAACAGG
rnacentral:rRNA from 1 species